rnacentral:lncRNA from 1 species
GAAAUUCCAAGUGAAUAAUUAUUAUUGUUGGUCAGAAAAUCGUCCAUCUGGAUAAUGAUGAAAACUGAAAGUUAGUCAAAUGUUAUUUUUAUGUGGUUUUGCUUUCUUUUCCUAUUGUUGGUUGUAUUGGAAGGGACCUUUAGUGGGUCAUCCAAUUAUGGCAGGGUCAGGAUUAGCUUUGCCUGGCUUCAGUCAUGUUAUCUUUUCUAACCAAAGUGGCCUAUGAUAUUGAGAUUCUUCAUGGGGAAAAAAUGAGCAAUCUUGAUCUUUAUCUGUGCAUCAGUUUUAAGUGGUGAUAUGAUUUUUGAAGAUUUAGGCUGUGGCUUUGAACGAAUGAACUGCUGUUAUUUCAGGAAGUAUGCUAACGUGAACAUGGGACAGUGUUUUCAUAGGGGAGGUGAUAUGGGAAAACUGUAGUAAUGAGGUAAGGAAUUGUACAGAACCUAAAGGAACAAUACCUAUUCUGUUUUGUUGUUGCAGUGGGAGAACUAGGGCAUUUGUAUAUCUUACCAAUUAUAUGUAGAUAUAAAGUUAACAACAGGAACGAAACAGUUUUUAAAUAGU